rnacentral:lncRNA from 1 species
UAUUCCAGCUAUUCUGUGGUGUUGGCCUUGGCCAGCAUUUUGGUGGGGAAGGGUUGUGCUCCAGACCCUUCCAGCCAGCUGCCCUCACCCCUCUGCUCCACUCUUUUUUCUGGACAGUCUCCCAACAGGUUCACUCCAGCCCUCCACCCAGUUUCACCUGAGCCGCUCUUGUCACUGGACCAUGAACUUUGGGGAAGAUCAACUUUCAGAGACGGUGCAUCUCGAUGCACACUUGCCGUGAGCUGAGCCCCAGGCAGGUCUUUGCUGUCUGUAGAGACUACAGAAAGAUGCACACCUGGAAGAUCUCCAGUAGCUGGGAGAUUUAUUACAGCCUUCAUUUCAAGUCAGAACUGAUGAAUUUCAGUGGACCUGUCGAGUGGCUACAAUCUGGAGGCAUUUAUCUUUCAGGAGGAAGAGAUGGUCUCCUCUCUUUGUGUCUCUGAAAUGAUGGAGGAGGGAGACAUGCCACCCAACUGGUAAGGGUCAWAAGAUACUUGCUGCGUGGCAGCCAGGUCUGUCUUGCCCAGGGCAGGAUCUUGGCUCCAGGGGUAGCAGAAUGACCAGUGCUCAGCAAUUUUGGCCUUUCUACUCUGGCAGAAGGCUAAUAUACUUGUUACACCCUGGGAGGAUUAAGUUGCUCUCCUUGUUUCCUGCUCUUGCGGAGAGCCUGGGCUGGCUGGGAUCCAGCAUCAGCCAUAUAYGUUUAAGGGCUCUUUCCCUAGAGUCGAGUGUUGCUCUGGACAACACCUGAGUGCUUCUCUAGCAGAAGGUGGCCUGAAGACCCAGUGUCCAGGAUGAUYUCUCC